AUCAGUAGUGUUUACGCGACGCGCAAAGCAACUAUGGUAUUUUAAAGGGAAAAUGAGGAAUGAAUCUGAGGCGUAAAUGUUAAAAUAAAUUCAUAUCAUCCUAAAAAAAUGCACAAUUUUCCUUAACGAAAAUCUUCAAGUGAUACGAUAGUGUAAAGAUCAGUAUUAAUUUAUAUAUUCGCUAGUUCGCUUGUGUUUAAAUAUGUUGUGCAGAUUGACGAAAUGCUGUUUUUGCUUUCCUCUGCGUUCUGGAUUAAUUGCAUUUGGAUAUAUUUGUCUUAUACCUUACAUCUAAAUACUAAUAUAAAGACUAAAAUUAGGACGCCUGACGGCGAAGUGUAUCUCGUUCGUAUAUAAUAAUUCUUUACCUUAACAUAAUAUCUAUAAUAUGCCAUAUGAGCGACCUGUUCCAAGGAUUAUCAUCAACCGAUCCCAUGAAUUACAUUAUACUUUCGCUGGUUUUGGGUGUCAACAUAAUACAGUUCUUUUUUGAUGUUAUUUUACUUGUCGGACUUCACAAGGGAAGCAGUACAUUACUAGAAGCAUACUAUGAGUGCAACUUAUGCAUGCUUAUAACUCAAGUGGUAACUGCUGGCUUGUAUAUUCCUCUACAGGCCUAUAGAUCAUAUCCUACACUGAAGAAUUACGUUUGGUUAUUAUCACUUAUAAUGAUUUUUUGCGGUGCCCUUGUUAUUGUGUGUCAAUUCUACUUAACGUCAUUGGUUAAAAGUCAGUUACGAGCUAUGAAACAAGCAGUGGUUGGGGAAGAAGAACUAUGAAACUGGCAGUUCAUCGAAAAGUUCAACUCGACAGGAACGUAUUCUGCUGAAGCGUAGACACAUGCUGAUACAAUGGAAAGAGGCUUGAAA